rnacentral:rRNA from 1 species
UACGGAGGGGGCUAGCGUUGUUCGGAAUUACUGGGCGUAAAGCGCGCGUAGGCGGCUUUGCAAGUUAGAGGUGAAAGCCCCGGAGCUUAACUCCGGAACUGCCUUUAAAACUGCAUCGCUAGAAUCGUGGAGAGGUGAGUGGAAUUCCGAGUGUAGAGGUGAAAUUCGUAGAUAUUCGGAAGAACACCAGUGGCGAAGGCGACUCACUGGACACGUAUUGACGCUGAGGUGCGAAAGCGUGGGGAGCAAACAGG